AAUUGGAAUGAGUACAAUGUAAAAACCUUAACGAGGAACAAUUGGAGGGCAAGUCUGGUGCCAGCAGCCGCGGUAAUUCCAGCUCCGAUAGCGUAUAUUAAAGUUGUUGCAGUUAAAAAGCUCGUAGUUGGAUUUUGGGAUAAGCUUGUUGGGCCGCCGCGAGGUGUUUGCCCCGACGAGGGUAUCCUUCCUCUCGAAAUUGGCGUGUGCGCUUAAUUGAGUGUGCGUCGAGUUUGGGACUUUUACUGUGAAAAAAUUAGAGUGUUCAAAGCAGGCUAUCGCUUGAAUAUUUCAGCAUGGAAUAAUGGAAUAGGACGUUGGUUCUAUUUUGUUGGUUUCUAGGACCGAAGUAAUGAUUAAUAGGGAUAGUUGGGGGCAUUAGUAUUUAAUUGUCAGAGGUGAAAUUCUUGGAUUUAUGAAAGACUAACUUCUGGGAAAGCAUUUGCCAAGGAUGUUUUCAUUAAUCAAGAACGAAAGUUAGGGGAUCGAAGAUGAUCAGAUACCGUCGUAGUCCUAACCAUAAACUAUGCCGACUAGGGAUUGGU
rnacentral:rRNA from 1 species